AUUGAGCGCUGGCGGCAGGCCUAACACAUGCAAGUCGAGCGGAUGAGAAGAGCUUGCUCUUCGAUUCAGCGGCGGACGGGUGAGUAAUGCCUAGGAAUCUGCCUGGUAGUGGGGGACAACGUUUCGAAAGGAACGCUAAUACCGCAUACGUCCUACGGGAGAAAGCAGGGGACCUUCGGGCCUUGCGCUAUCAGAUGAGCCUAGGUCGGAUUAGCUAGUUGGUGAGGUAAUGGCUCACCAAGGCGACGAUCCGUAACUGGUCUGAGAGGAUGAUCAGUCACACUGGAACUGAGACACGGUCCAG
rnacentral:rRNA from 1 species